GCAGCAGGAUGAAAUGUGUUUGUGCAUGCCCCAAUAACCACCAGCAAACCCCAGCUUGAGGAGAGUCACCAGCACGUCAGAAAGAAGAGAGACUUAUGAAAGGAUGUGUUACCAAAAGUUUAUCCUUUCCAGAGUUGCAGCUUUAUAUCUGCUAAACUGCUGGGAUUCUUUCCUCUGGCUUGAACUGGGUUUGAGUCAGACCUUGGAGACACAAACAGCAGAGCAAGUCCAGACACCACUGGAGUCAUAAACAAACCUCCUGCCAGCUGCCCAUCUACUCUUGUGCAUCAUGUUCAAUUGCUUGUGAAUGGAGUCCUCCCUCCUUUGUCCAGGUGGUUUCAACAUUGUGUUGCAAUCCCUGUCGCUGGCUUGUGUGUUUUUAAAAACUUCUUAGAAGAGUAUCUUAACAGUACAUAACGAUAAAAUAUAUGACAAUUUUAUUUGCACGAAUUGUCAUAUCCAUAUAGCAGCAUCUUUUAAUAAUUUUGACUAUGUUUAAAUGAGAUCACCAAGAGAGACUAUAGCUCUGCACAGACAUGUGCAGGCAUGCCUAGGAAUUUGGCUUGCCUGCAGUUUAUCUGUCCCAGUUAAAGGCAGAUGCAGCCUUUUGCUUCCAUGGACAUUGAUGAGCUGGUAGAUGUGCUAACAGGGAGAGAGCUCACACACAGCAACUGGUCCUGAUCUAAUCACACACAUUCUUACAGUGCUGUUUGGCUCCAACUUGCCCAACUGCAGGAAUAUUUUCAGUUUUCCUUCCUACCUCCUUGGACAGGGAUCACCCAAGUUUGGAUGAGAAGGAGCUUCCCUGGAGUACCUGCAAACAUACUGGGAAUGCUGGUGAGUGGCUCAGAAAGCCCGGCAGACUCUUUACAGUUUGUCCCUAGACAUCUUGUUGAAAAGCUUCAGAACAACAGGAGUGGUAUCACAGGCAGAGGAUGGGGAUCAGCCUCUGAGUCUUGCCUACCCUCUUCUACCGCUUUUCUCCUUUCCUACAGCCCAAAGUGAGAAUUCUAAUUUUUGGCAACAGUAUCUCGUUGAUUUUUAUAGUCUGACAUUUUCCUUAUCCCUUAAUUCUUUGCCUGAGUUCUGCUGCUGCACCACACAAGCUCCCUUUAUCGCUGAGCAUUCUCCACUUGUCUCUAUCAGAUGUCAAGCUAUUGAUUCGGAGGUGAUGUCAAGGUCAUUUGGGAUUCUGACACUUUCCUUGAGAGUUCUCCUUGGGAAUGCUUGGAGAUUUUGGUGACUUUUGGCCAGACACAAAUGUCCUAGUUAUGUUCUAUUUCCUCUUGACAGCUGUACCAGGGAACAAUGUUUUAAUGGGAAUAAUUUAAAUUUUUAAUAUGUCGGUCCCUGAAUAAAGAACGUUCAAGACUGAAGAAAUUCUAAACACUAUCAUACUUAAUGCAAUCCUUAUCCUACCCUAUCUCUUCUUUCUCUUGGAUUUUGAAGAAGAUCAAAGGAAUGAUUUAUUCACAGUCUUUGUAAGUGAGCGCUAGCAGUUAUGUUCAAUGUGCUAAUCAUGUGCAGCGGCAAAGCAGAAAUGGAAACUGGACUAUCUGCAAAUGUUGCCUCUUUUUUCCCCCAUGCCUUCUGAUUACUCUGUGGAUGCAGCAUCCCACAAAAUAUGUGAAGUUUACAUAGAGAGCAACAGACAGAACAAGUUUCAACAAGAAUUCCUUUCUUCCUGGCUGAAGUGUACAAACCCAGCAACUGUGCUCCCAACACAAGCUGCAGUUUCCAUGCCUCCUGUACAUGUGCUUGUGUUUUUGUGGGGCUUUUCAAAACAAACUGGGCUGAAUCACACUGCAGGAGCUUCCCAGGCUGUGUCCUUGGCCAAGCCUGGAACAGCAGACUCACACCAAAACCUCUUGCCUGCAGGCAGGUAGGGACAGCAAUUGUUUACUCACUUGCACGAAUCACGAGGGGGUUUUCCCUUCACUUUAUAGUCCCAUAUGGUGAUGCUUCUCCUGUUGGGCACUCUCAGCCUCUUCUCAUGCACCCAAACUGCCUCCAGGAGCGCAUCCUCCAUCCUCUGACCCACCCCAGCCACCUUUGGGCAUGAGAUCCUGCUCACUCCCACUCCUGUUCCCUUCUCUGGAGCCACACUCAUCCUGCCUAUCACACCGUCCUGCACUUCCACCUAAUUUUGUAUCCCGACUUUUAAUUAUGGCAGGUGGGCCAGAAUUUCUACGCGAGAGACAGAAGAAGUGACCCAAGAGAUCUCCAAGAGACACAAAAAGUGUGUCUUGCUCUGACAGUCAGCUGAAGGAUUUGCUCUCCCAGUGCCUGCAUUUCCCAGAACACACCCCAGCCUCUCCAGGCAGUGAUUUUCCCACAUCCCAAACCCCUCACUGUCCAUUUCCAGCCCUCCCAGAAAUGAGGUCCUCGUGGCACUCGUACCCCAGGUACCAAGACAGACAAAACCAGCCAGCAUUGACAGGUUUGGUUUCGUUCCAAGGGGUAAUUUCUGUUCUUUUUCUAACAUCUACAUCUCCAAGGAUUUAAUCUAUACUCCUGUGGGUCUCAGAU